CUCCCUGCUCCCAAUGUCCCCGCCGCCGCCGCCACCUCCUCCCCGUACCCGCCCCUCCCGAUCCAGUCCUCUCCCACCCACCGCCGACCUUGCCGUCCUCCUCACCCACCACCGCCGACCUCGUCCCUCCCUCCCCUCUCCGCAUCUUCCGGCCAACUCUACGCCCGAGGAGAUCGAGCGAGCGCCCGAGUGCGCCCGUCCUCGCAGCCUCCUCCCACGAUUCCCCGCGCCCGAGCCCCACGAGAGGAGCUCCUCCUGUGUUUUUGCACGCCGCCGCCGGCGACCACCAGCCACAGCUUGCCGGAGCCAGCAGAUGAGUGCCACCCUUCUUCUCUAUUCUCUUCUUCCCGUGCUCUCUUUCUUCCUCCUUUCUCUCUCUCACACAUCUCAAUUUCUCUCUCUGUCUCAAACAGUGCACUUCGCCGCCAUGGACGCUCGUGUCCCCGACCUUGCAGCGCGCCGCCCCGAUGCGAAGUCCCUCCUGGUCGUUCCUGCGCCGCUGGGCCGAAGCCUCGCCCAAGUCCAAGCGCCGCCCACGUUUGCCUCCUCGCCAUGGCCUCCCCUGCUUCGUCUGCUUCGCGGACAGAGCUCCGUCUCCGUCAACGUGUCCUCCCGCCGUCUCUGUUCGCUGUCGGGCUCAAUCGACUCCAGCAGCACCCCCACGGUGUCGCUCCGCUCGGCACCCGAGUGUCUCUCCAGCUUGCAGUAGCAGCUCUCUUCUCCAGUGCGCCCACCAGCCAGGCCGUUCGUCUCCAGCUCUCCGCUCUGGCUCUGUAUUGCGUUGUUCAUUCAAUCAGGGAUCUAUUCCAAGGUCUCGGGUCCGCCCUCUCCAUGGAGAAAGGAGAUAUCUAUUCAUUUUGCCAUUAGGAGUAGUUUUACUGCAGUACUGCUUGAACUACUCCAAGCAUUAGGAGUACUGUAAAGCGAGUAAAUGGAGGGCGAGGAAUUUUUACUGCAAUGUAGGAUUGCACAGGGAGUUGUUAGUAGUAGAUGUUGAUGAUCAUAGUCAGGAGAUGGAGGGUGACACACAGCCAUGGAGAGGAGCGGCAGCUCAAGGUCCUUUCUCCUCCACGCCACCUCUGCCCCUCUCUCGUUUUGAUUUGCUAUGUUGGGUUCCAAGAUUAGAAAUAUUUUUUGUUUCCAUCUUUAUCCAUGUGCUAUCAUUAACUCUGAGAAAAUGUUAUGUUUUUGCUGAUUAGUGGCAAUACAUCUUUGCUUUACUAUUCCUAGCAGCUGCAGUUCAUCUACCAUAAACAUGUUGUGUACAUUCUGAACCCCCAAACAUGACAUAAGUGAUAUGUAUAUGCAACAGGGAAUCGUCAACUUGUACAGUUUGUUUACUGGAAUGUAACUUGUACAAUUUUUACUUGAAUAUGUUCAGUUAUGAAGUCGUGUAGUUGUUUUUUCUCAUCAGUUCUAAAUUGCAGUACUUUACUGAAUUGUUGAUGAUGCUGAAUGAAUCUAGCUUGUUGGGUUUAGUCUCUUGUUUAGAUGGAAUAGCACCCCAUCACCUGUUGUUGUUGUUAUUCACCCUAUCCUUGCUGUUCUGUUUUCUUGU